rnacentral:rRNA from 1 species
AUUGAACGCUGGCGGCAGGCCUAACACAUGCAAGUCGAGCGGAGCGGCGGACGGGUGCGUAAUGCCUAGGAAUCUGCCUGGUAGUGGUGGAUAACGUCCGGUAAUGGGCGCUAAUACCGCAUCCUAUCAGAUGCGCCUAGGUCGGAUUAGCUAGUUGGUGGGGUAAAGGCCUACCAAGGCGACGAUCCGUAGCUGGUCUGAGAGGAUGAUCAGUCACACUGGAACUGAGACACGGUCCAGACUCCUACGGGAGGCAGCAGUGGGGAAUAUUGGACAAUGGGCGAAAGCCUGAUCCAGCCAGGCCGCGUGUGUGAAGAAGGCCUUCGGAUUGUAAAGUACUUUAAGUUGGGAGGCGUUACCAGCAGAAUAAGCACCGGCUAACUCCGUGCCAGCAGCCGCGGUAAGAC